rnacentral:lncRNA from 1 species
UAAGGUCGGAGCAUUUAGUGAAAGAAAAAGAAGAAUUUUUUUUCAGAAGUUGAAACCAACUAAUACGUGUUUGACACGUGGCAAGACAUUUAGUGAAUAAUAAAAAAACAGAGACACACAUUGUUUUCCUUUCUCAUUCUCUCUAUCGGUGCUAUGCAAGAACAAAGAAGAAAGAAUAAUCCUCCUCUUCUUUGACUAAAACAACAUCCUCUUAACCUCAAACAAAAUCACAAUAAAAUUAAAACUCUCUUCCUAUCCGCCUUCG